CCAGGCCUGGGGCCAUUACAUUGCAAUGUAAUGCAUUACAUUACAAUUACUUUGUGAUUCUUCCAUUACAAUUACAAUUACAAUUACAUUUUUUCUCACAUGUAAUACAUUACAUUACAAUUACUUUGCCUAUGUAAUGCAUUACAUUACACAUUACUUUUUCAAUAUAAAAACUAAAAACAUUUCAAAAAACAGAUUUUUAUAAGAAAUUGAUAAAUAAUACAGGGGUAUAUGAAGAUAUAUAUACAGUGUUAGUGACAUAGACUUCAAA
rnacentral:lncRNA from 1 species